UACGUAGGUGGCAAGCGUUGUCCGGAUUUACUGGGCGUAAAGAGCGCACAGGCGGCUGGCCAAGUCCGAUGUGAAAUCUCCCGGCUUAACUGGGAAACUGCAUCGGAAACUGACCGGCUUGAAGGUGGGAGAGGCUGGUGGAAUUCCCGGAGUAGUGGUGAAAUGCGUAGAUAUCGGGAGGAACACCGGUGGCGAAGGCGGCCAGCUGGCGCUGACCUGACGCUGAGGCGCGAAGGCUUGGGGAGCGAACGGG
rnacentral:rRNA from 1 species